rnacentral:lncRNA from 1 species
AUAAAGAUUUAUCUUCUUACAGUAUUUUUUUUCUUGAGUAUUCUGUAAAUACUGAGAUUUAGGUCAUUUCUAGUAUCUCUACUUUGAUUACUAAUGAUUUGUCACUACAUAUUUAUGCUCCAGAGUGUGAUUGCCAUAUGAGAAGUAGUUAGAACUAGAUUGGUUGUGUAGAUCUCCUCCCCUUCCUUUUUCUCCUACUCACUGCAUCACCUAACAGUUGCAUUUUGUUUUACCAAUGCAUUCAGGAGAAUUUGCUACCAAGAAUUUGACUUUGAUUCAAGAUGAAAACAUGCAGUCAUUUCAUAGAAAUAUCUCCAACAUGGCUAACUUAUUCAUAACUUGGUUUCAUAUACCUAUAGAGUUCUCUCCACGCACAUGUAGAUCAAAGAAUUUCCUAGAAAUGUCUAGAAAAAUUCAUUUUCAGGAAUGAUGUCACUGAAGAGUUGCUAAGCAGCCCUGAUUUAAGAUUCUGAUUUCAUCAGUGAGAGUUAGGAAUGUUGUGAAAAUUAUAGAUCACCAUUAUAUAGAUAUAUGUAGGCAUACGCUGACGUAAACUAAAAAUUAAUUCUCAGAUUUAUAUCAUGAAGUUGAGGAAACUGGGCCCCACUGGUUUGGGCUGCACUUCAUGGGACGGUUACCGUGACAAACAUAAAUCCAGAAGCACGGAUGCUGGGGAGCUCUAGUCAGUCACCGUUUGAGCAAGACAGGAAACACCUGUGUGAUAAACUUACUAUGAACACAUUCAGAAAUGUAAAGGCUCUUAGCUCAGUUAAGAUAGUUUGUAGUAAAUUAAGAGGUCAAUCCACAACUUUUCUUCAAAGCUUGUAUAAGGAGUUCAAACAACCAUAAUAAUUCUACACAGAUGAGUUUGAGAUAAGAUGAAUACUAAAUAGGAAUGACCUUUAUUAACGAUAAAAGAUGAAUGUGUAUUGCUCUAGAGUACACUCAAGAGGAAUGAAAUCCUAACUGGGAAAUGUAAAUAUACAAGGAUUUAGAAUGCACUCACUAGAAUCUUCGUUCAAUGUGCCAGAAUAAAUCUGUAAUUUUGGGUAUAAUAAAAAGCUACAUUCUAUAUAUUUCUUGAAGUCUCAAUGUAAAGAAAUAACAUAAUCUUUACUUUUCCCUUGUAUUUUACACAGUUAAUUCACUAUAACUUCCCAUUUUUAAAAUGGCAAAACUAAGGUAGAAUUAUCUAUAGGAACAAAUUUUAGGAGCCGAUGCUGUAGAAUAAGAAUAAUUAAACCAAGAAUGGUAUUGAAAAUUUGCAAAUAUGAGUGAAUAAAGUAAACUUAUAAAAGGCAUAUCAAAAUAAGUGUUGACAUGUAUAAAAAAGAGCAUAUGAAUAUUACACAUCAUGGCAAACGAGAUAGUUCAGUGGGUAAAUGAACUACCAUAUAAGUCUGAUGACCUCAAUUCAAUCCCUAGGUCCCGUAUAAGGGGAAAAGGAGAAAACAGACUCCACCAAGUUGUCCUCUGACCUUCACAUACCCCAUCACAUGCUCAUGCACACAGUUGCACAGUGAUAAUAAAAUGCUUUUCUAUGUAUAUUUGCCAGCGUGCAUAUAUGAGUACCACAUGCAUGUCUGCUCCCUACAGAGACCAGAUGGGGGCAUCAGAUUCUCUGGAACUUGGUUGUGAGCCUCCAUGAGUGCACUGAGGGAACCAAACCCAUAUUCCCAGAGAGAGCAGCAAGUGCUCUGAACUCCCAAGCCAACUCUGCAGCCCCACGUUUCUACAUAUACCAUCUCAUAUGUGUUGGGUAGAAAGUACCAACACCUAUAGUGAACCAGAAAUACAUUUAAUAGGUCAUCAUGGCACUGAUGCUCUGAAGAACAAUCUGGAAAAAAUGUCUUUGAUUGCCAUAGAAUAUUUGUAUAGCUUGACUACCCCUUGAGACAUUGCAAAUUAAGAAACAGGCUCUUUCUUCUGUUCUUGCUUUACUUUACUCAAAACGCAAGUAGACAAAAAGCCAAAAAAGCAAAAGAAUUGAAAUGAUAAAAGGGUAGUGACAGAAACCUCUAGGUUUGGCAGAACUCCCCAACAUCAAGGUAUAAUAGCAUGUGGAUAGAGAUUGUUAGAAGAGAAGCAGGCAUUUAAAUGAGAUUUAAAUGCACUAAGAGAAACGCACUAAUGGGACAAAAAAAAAAAAAAAAAAAACCCAAAAACAAAAAACUGAAACAGGACAUAGCCACAUAAGCUUAAUGAAACACCUACCUGAUUUUAAAACCUACUUAAUUCCUUAAAUUAAGGGAUCACAUCUAGAGGCAUUUUAUGCUGAAGGAAACAGGCUGUUAUUGAGUCUCAACUAGAAGAACAUAGCUAACCUCUUGGACACUAAACUGAUGGAAGGACUAAUCUUCCAUGAUGGGAGGGAAGAAUAUUUUUCCAUGAUGAGAGGGAGGUCUAUCUUUCCAUAAGAAAAGAUAGAGAGUAUUUGGUCCAAGACUGAGGAAGCAGAGGGUGACCUUUAUUUUAAUUGCAGCAAAAUUCUCCAAUGUUAUCUGCCAUGCUAAAACACCAGUACAAAGGUUACUGAUAACUCACUAAGAGGACUGACUACCUUAUGCAUCCAAGCCUCAAGGCCACCAAGAAAGGGGGAAAACAUGGGAGGAGAGAGACUGAGAAGCUGAGCAGAAAGAAAGUAGUGGGGGACAUUUCUGACUUGAUAAGAUUCUGACAUUUAGAAUGUUUGGAGAAUUAGAAAUUGUUCCUGGAAUGUAUUUUAGUGAUGGAUAAUCACAAAAUUAUUUAGAAAUCCCUUAGAAAAUUAGGAUAUAUUGAUGUUGUUUUAUUUCACACUCAGUCUGCCACAAUCUGCUUGCAAGAGAUGAUGCUGAGACAAUCCGUCUGUCUCCUGCCUCAUUCUGCAAAGAAUGAAAAUGACUUACAGAAACUGUGCAUGAUCAAGCAGAGCUGUGGAAAGUCAGGAGGUAUGAUAGCUGCAGAUAAGAUUAGCACAGGCUCUGCCAACUUGUUAAUCAUCUAAGCGUUGGACAGAAAUGUAUCUGCAGGUUUCCUAGCGACC